rnacentral:lncRNA from 1 species
UACUUACAGGUAAGUAAACCUGGGCCCAAGAUCACAGAGCACACAGCUGGAAUUCACAGCAAGACCUGCUUGACUUUGAAGUCAGUGGUCUUUCCCCUGCUUCCCAUGAGACAGUUUUGAUCAUCGAUGAUUUCUGGUUCUAAUGAGAUCAAGGACACAAAGAGGCUGAGUGCCUCCAUGAGCUUCAUUAUUUUCCAUGAUCUGACCUCUCAUUCUCUCAGGCUUUGGAGUUGGAUGAAGGAAGAACUCUGAAAAAAAGUAUCUGCACCCAAGGACCCACACCCAAGGAGCAGUACCAGAGGGAACACACCUGAAGAGCCCUAUCUGGAUUUGCCAAAGUGUAAGUGUAUUUCACCGGUGAAGAAUGUAAAACAUAAAAGGCCAGAACAUGAACUCUGCAGCUAAUCUUCAAAGAUGGCUCUCAGUGAACCACACCUCAUGGAAUUCAUGUCCUUGCAUAGUCCCCUCCCGCACUGAAUCUGGGUUAACUUUGUGACUCUCUAACUAUCAGAAUGUGACAGAAGUAACAGUAUGAUACAUCUCUCCAUUUAGUUAGAUCAUCUUUAAUUUCUCCCAAUAAUGUUUUGUAGUUUUCUGUGUAGAGGUCUUACACAUUUUUUAGAUUGAGUCUUUGACAUGUGACUUUUCUAUGCUGUUGAUAAAUGAUAUUUUGUUAAAAUUUUUAUUUUCUAAUUGCUUGUUACUAGCAUAUAGAAACUUAAUUACAUAUAGAAACUAAGUACAGGACUUCGUUUAUUGACUAUGUAUU